rnacentral:sRNA from 2 species
AUGAAAUUAAUCACAUAACAAACAUACCCCUUUGUUUGAAGUGAAAAAUUUCUCCCAUCCCCUUUGUUUAGCGUCGUGUAUUCAGACACGACGUUUUUUU